rnacentral:lncRNA from 1 species
AUGGCAGAGAACACAGACAGAAACGAGGGAAGAGAGAGAAAUUGGGGACCCUGAAGAAAGGGGGCCAGCAGCAGCUGACCACAUACCGGUAGCCACUCCUGCAUAACGCUCUCCCCUCCUGUGACCAGCUGAGGACCUCAGGCUGCAGCGGAGCCAUGCCCAGAUACACGGUGCACGUACGUGGGGAAUGGCUGGCAGUGCCCUGCCAGGACGCGCAGCUCACUGUGGGCUGGCUGGGCCGGGAGGCUGUGAGGCGCUAUAUCAAGAAUAAGCCCGACAAUGGUGGCUUCACCUCCGUGGAUGACGCGCAAUUCCUUGUGCGCCGGUGCAAGGGCCUGGGCCUGCUGGACAACGAGGACCGGCUCGAGGUGGCCCUAGAGGAC